rnacentral:rRNA from 1 species
GAUGAACGCUAGCGGCAGGCCUAACACAUGCAAGUCGAGGGGCAGCAAGGGUAGCAAUACCUGUUGGCGACCGGCGCACGGGUGAGUAUCGCGUUUGUAACCUACCUUUAACUGGAGGAUAGCCCGAAGAAAUUCGGAUUAAUACUCCAUAAUACUAUGAAUUGGCAUCUUUUUAUAGUUAAAGCUCCGGCGGUUAGAGAUGGGCAUGCGUGGCAUUAGUUUGUUGGUGAGGUAACGGCUCACCAAGACUACGAUGUCUAGGGGGUCUGAGAGGAUGGUCCCCCACACUGGUACUGAGACACGGACCAGACUCCUACGGGAGGCAGCAGUGAGGAAUAUUGGUCAAUGGGCGCAAGCCUGAACCAGCCAUGCCGCGUGAAGGAUGACGGCCCUAUGGGUUGUAAACUUCUUUUGUACGGGAAGAAACACUCCGACGUGUCGGAGCUUGACGGUACCGUGCGAAUAAGCAUCGGCUAACUCCGUGCCAGCAGCCGCGGUAACAC